CUUUGUCUAAACAACGUUGUGCUCACGCAUCGUCGGAGAAAAGCUCUGAACAGCGACGUGUGUGUGUAUAUCGAGCUGGAGAGCAUGCUAGCUGAUGGCUAACACUUAAAUUAGCGCCCUUGGAACGGCGGAAUGAGUUUUCACGGUGCUUAUGGUACACGGUGCUGGUCGAGAGUGAAAAUAAUUCAACACCCGUUUGAAUCUCUCUGCGUCUUGCUGAGUGAAUCCAAGGGGCCGUUACAAUUUGUACUGAUG